AAAAAAUUAGUUAAAUAAAUAACAUUAACUUGUCAAGUUAAAAUUAUAUUUUAAAUAUAUUUUUUA
rnacentral:tRNA from 1 species